rnacentral:rRNA from 1 species
GCGACCGGCGCACGGGUGAGUAACACGUAUCCAACCUGCCGUCUACUCUUGGACAGCCUUCUGAAAGGAAGAUUAAUACAAGAUGGCAUCAUGAGUCCGCAUGUUCACAUGAUUAAAGGUAUUCCGGUAGACGAUGGGGAUGCGUUCCAUUAGAUAGUAGGCGGGGUAACGGCCCACCUAGUCUUCGAUGGAUAGGGGUUCUGAGAGGAAGGUCCCCCACAUUGGAACUGAGACACGGUCCAAACUCCUACGGAAGGCAGCAGUGAGGAAUAUUGGUCAAUGGGCGAGAGCCUGAACCAGCCAAGUAGCGUGAAGGAUGACUGCCCUAUGGGUUGUAAACUUCUUUUAUAAAGGAAUAAAGUCGGGUAUGCAUACCCGUUUGCAUGUACUUUAUGAAUAAGGAUCGGCUAACUCCGUGCCAGCAGCCGCGGUAAUACGGAGGAUCCGAGCGUUAUCCGGAUUUAUUGGGUUUAAAGGGAGCGUAGAUGGAUGUUUAAGUCAGUUGUGAAAGUUUGCGGCUCAACCGUAAAAUUGCAGUUGAUACUGGAUAUCUUGAGUGCAGUUGAGGCAGGCGGAAUUCGUGGUGUAGCGGUGAAAUGCUUAGAUAUCACGAAGAACUCCGAUUGCGAAGGCAGCCUGCUAAGCUGCAACUGACAUUGAGGCUCGAAAGUGUGGGUAUCAAACAGGAUUAGAUACCCUGGUAGUCCACACGGUAAACGAUGAAUACUCGCUGUUUGCGAUAUACAGCAAGC